AGAGUUUUAUCCUGGCUCAGGAUGAACGCUGGCGGCGUGCUUAACACAUGCAAGUCGAACGAAGCUGCUUAACUGAUCUUCUUCGGAAUUGAUGUUUUGUAGACUGAGGGGGAGACGGGUGAGUAACGCGUGGGUAACCUGCCCUGUACAGGGGGAUAACAGAUAGAAAUGACUGAUAAUACCGCAUAAUACCACGACACCUCAUGGAGCAAGGGUAAAAACUCCGGGGGGACGCGAUGGACCCGCGUGUGAGUAGCUGGAUGGUGAGGCAACAGCUCAACGGAGCGACGAUCAUGUAGACGAGCUGUGACACAGUGAACGGCCACAUAUGGGACUGAGACACCGCCCAGACUCCUACGGGAGGCAACAUUGGGGAAUAUUGCCCAGCGUGGGGAACCCUGAUGCAGCGACGGAUGCAAGGCUCAAUAAGUCUCUCACUUUGUAAAGCUCUAAAUAAAGGUUAACAAAAUGAGGGAAUCUGUACUGUACACACCUCAGUAUAAGAACGGGCCACCCCCCGCCGUAAUACGUAGGGGGACAGAGGAAUCCAGAGUUAUCGGGAGUAAAUGGUGCGAAAGUGAUAUGACGAGUCAUAGAUGAAAACCCUGGGAUAAACUCUGGGACUGCAUUUGAAUCUGUCAGACUGGAGUGCAGGAGAGGUAAGCGGAAUGCAUAGUGUAGCGGUGAAAUGCGUAGAUAUUAGGAGGAACAUCAGUGGCGAAGGCGGCUUAGUGCACUGAAACUGUCACUGAGGCUCGAAAGCGUGGUGAGCAAACAGGAUUAGAUACCCUGGUAGUCCACGCCGUACACGAUGAAUACUAGGUGUCGGGGCCGUAGAGGCUUCGGUGCCGCAGCCAACGCAGUAAGUAUACCACCUGGGGAGUACGUUCGCAAGAAUGAAACUCAAAGGAAUUGACGGGGACCCGCACAAGCGGUGGAGCAUGUGGUUUAAUUCGAAGCAACGCGAAGAACCUCACCUGGUCUUGACAUCCUUCUGCCCGGUCCUUAACCGGCCCUUUCCUUCGGGACAGGAGUGACAGGUGGUGCAUGGUUGUCGUCAGCUCGUGUCGUGAGAUGUUGGGUUAAGUCCCGCAACGAGCGCAACCCCUAUCUUUAGUAGCCAGCAUUUAAGGUGGGCACUCUAGAGAGACUGCCAGGGAUAACCUGGAGGAAGGCGGGGACGACGUCAAAUCAUCAUGCCCCUUAUGUCCAGGGCUACACACGUGCUACAAUGGCGUAAACAGAGGGAAGCAGCCUCGUGAGAGUGAGCAAAUCCCAAAAACAACGUCUCAGUUCGGAUUGUAGUCUGCAACUCGACUACAUGAAGCUGGAAUCGCUAGUAAUCGCGAAUCAGAAUGUCGCGGUGAAUACGUUCCCGGGUCUUGUACUCACCGCCCGUCA
rnacentral:rRNA from 1 species